UACGGAGGGUGCAAGCGUUAUCCGGAUUCACUGGGUUUAAAGGGUGCGUAGGUGGGCAGGUAAGUCAGUGGUGAAAUCUCCGAGCUUAACUCGGAAACUGCCAUUGAUACUAUCUGUCUUGAAUUAUCUGGAGGUGAGCGGAAUAUGUCGUGUAGCGGUGAAAUGCUUAGAUAUGACAUAGAACACCAAUUGCGAAGGCAGCUCACUACGGAUAUAUUGACGCUGAGGUGCGAAAGCGUGGGGAGCGAUCCGG
rnacentral:rRNA from 1 species